rnacentral:lncRNA from 1 species
UGUUUUUAGUUGCAUUUGAGUCAAGUAUCAAGUUUUGUUGGUUUGGUAUUACAUUACAUUCGAUUACGAGUUUAAGUCAAAAAGACCUCGUUUAUGCUUCGUUUGGGUAGUGUCAUUGUUCCAGGUUCAAAAGCAAGAAUGGUGAAGUUCGGGACACUCUGAAGGACGAAAAUAUGACAGAACAGCAGGUCAACACGGCCACCCGUGUGCCACCACACGGCCGUGUUGUUGGUCAAGCAGAGAAAAAGAC